rnacentral:tRNA from 1 species
CGGUCUAUACGAGACUUGAACUCAUUUCUCUUGCGUGACAGGCAAGCGUGUUAACCCAUAUACUAAUAAACC